UACAGAGGGUGCAAGCGUUAAUCGGAAUUACUGGGCGUAAAGGGCGCGUAGGCGGCCUUCUAAGUCGAACGUGAAAUCCCCGGGCUCAACCCGGGAACUGCGUCCGAUACUGGAAGGCUUGAAUCCGGGAGAGGGAUGCGGAAUUCCCGGUGUAGAGGUGAAAUUCGGUAGAUAUCGGGAGGAACACCAGUGGCGAAGGCGGCGUCUGGGAAGAUACUGACGCUGAGGUGCGAAAGCGUGGGGAGCAAACAGG
rnacentral:rRNA from 1 species